CUUAACGGUAGUCUCCGGCUCAAUUAAAAUGUAAGGAGUGGAGGGAGCCAUCAGCUGAGGAAUGCUUUGAAAAGCUCAGACCGCUUUCAGAAAACAGGAGGUUCCCUGAAAUACCCACAACAGACCUAGACAUUUUAUGCUGAAGAAAAUGUGUGAGGUCCAAAAUCCACACUUCCAAAACUGAAAUCCUAAGACUUGAAUUAUCACAGAAAAGAAUGAUCUCUUGAACUCUGCACAGACACAUGACUGAUCCAGGCUGGAAGAGCUGAGAGAAGUGUAGAAGCAGGAUUCAGGAUUCAGGAUUCAGGAUGCAGGACCAGUGUGAAAACUCAUGAGGACCUUCAGGACAUCGACUACACUUUAUGAAGAAAUGCUAUGUUUUUGAGAUGAAAAAAAAAAAAAUAGAGGAGAUUCCUGGGUAGACUGAACACUGAUAUACGUGGGGGAACUGACUUUACUAGAUCACGUUUCUGCAAGGGACAAAGAAUAAAUUCUCUGAAAAAAAAAAUAAAUAGAAGAAACAGC